rnacentral:tRNA from 2 species
CAGAAGAUAGUUUAAUGAGAAUGCCAGCUUUGGGAGUUGGUGAUAGAGGUUUGAGUCCUCUUUUUCUGAAGUUGC